rnacentral:tRNA from 1 species
GAAAUAUAAACAAAUAAGCUUCUAACUUAAUUUAUAGCGUUUCAACGUUAAUAUUUCU